UCCAAGAGAGCAGAAGGCAUUGAGGGUAUCAAGAGAUGAGUCUUCCCGCAGUGUGAGUCAGCUUACACAAGCACCUCAGGCAAUUCCCUGUUAUACCAGAGCCUCCAGGCAUAGAGUCAGCUGCUGCUAUUUCUUCACUUCAUCUUAACUACUCCCAGAAAAAUAUAACAGUAUAUAUGAUAAUAUAAUAAUGAUAAUAUAAUAAUGCCAAUACCUAAUACUUAUCAACUGCUUACUGUGUGCCAGGUACUGUGUUACAUGGUUCUUCUCCUGUGAGGUCACUCAGCAUAUUUAUUACAUGCCCACUGAAUUUGUCACAGUGAGAAACAAAAAUAAGUAAAAUAGGUAAGAAUCUAACUAAAAGCAAAAAAUUACAUCUAAAAAAUUCAAAAAAGAUAAUAGAAGAUUCUGGGAAGAUGGUGGAGUAGGAAGCAUCAGGAGUCCCUCUCCCCUUAGAUAAUUACACUGGUAGAAUCUGUCUGAUGGAACAAUUUUGGAGUCUUUUGAAGACUUGCAACUACUAGGGGAAGGCUGAGAUGGUAAAUUGUGGUUCCUUUUAGUCAGUUUAGUCAGUUUCAGCUCAGAACAGUAGCAGCUACCUGUGCCCUACCUGCAGCUACAUGGCAGGUAGCUAUGCAAGCAUUCCAACAGCUUGCACACAGAUUGCAGAAGCUAGGAUGAGUAAGGAGGAUCCUGUCCUCUAAAAAUGGGGAAUCUGGGCUCUGAUUGCUGCUUCUGAUCACAGAGGUGCAGACAAAGAUGGGCAACCAUUGUGGUGGUGGUGGUCCCUCCCACCAUUGUUGUAAGCCCCUCUCCUGCCACAUGAAGUGACUUUCAGGAGAUUUGAAGGGCCAGGGCCCUAUUUUCUUCCCCUUCAUUUUCCACUUUUUUUUUUUCCCUUUUGGGGGCCAGAAAUUAAAGAUUAGGACAUGUGAGCCCUGGGGAAGUGGAGAGAACCUUAUUUCCAGACAUACCACAUUAUUAGGUCCAAAUUUGCAGUGUUCAAGGAGAAAUCACAAGGAAUGCAAAGAAACAGGAAACUAUGGCCCAUUCAAAGAAAAAGUAAUAAUUCAAAAGACUCUGUCCCUUAAAAAGACUUAAUGGCAAAUAGGUUAGACAAAGACUUUAUAAAACAAAAGCCCAAAGAUGCUCAAAGAACUAAGGGAUGAUGUGGAGAAAUUCAUGACAAUGACGUGUGAGCAAAAUGGAAAUAUCAAUGAAGAGAUAGCCUAAAAAGAAACCAAAAACAAAUUCUGAAAAGUACCAUAAUUGAAAUGAAAAAUUCACAAGAGGGAUUCAGAGGCAGAUUUGAGCAGACUGAAGAAAGAACCCAUGAACUUCAAGAUACGACAAUGGAAAUUCUCAAGUCUGAGGAACAAAGAAAAGCACUGAAGGAAAGAGAACAGACCCUAGAGGACCUCUGGGACACCAUCCACCAGACCAUCAUAUGCAUUGUGGGUGUCCCAGAAGGAGCAAAGAGAAAGAGGCAGAGAGAGUAUUUGAAGAAAUACUCUUCAAAUGGUUGAAAACUUCCUAAAUUUGAUGGAAGACAUGAAUAUAAAUAAGCACAAAGCUCACUGAACUCCCAAGUAAGAUGAACUCAAAGAGACACACAGCAAGAAACAAUCAAACUUGCAAAAGAUAAAGAGCAGAUCUUGAAAGCAGCAUUAGACAAGCAAAUCACAUACAAGGGAUCCUCAAUAUUAUCUGCAGUUUUCCUACCAGAAGUUUUGGAGGCCUGGGGUGCCUGGCUGGUUCAGUCAGUGGAGCCUGUGAUUCUUGACUCAGGGUUAUGGGUUUGAGCUCUAUGUGGGACAUAGAGAUUACUUAAAAAUAAAAUCCUUAGGGGCGCAUGGGUCAGUAAAGCAUUCUGCCAUUGUCUUGGGUCGUGAUCCCGGGGUCCUGCAAUUGAGCCCUGCAUAGGGGUCCCUGCUCAGUGGGGAGUCUGCUUGUCCCUCUGCCCCUCCCCCCGUUCGUGCUCUCUCUCUCUCUCUCUCUCAGAUAUCUUUUAAAAAUAAGAAUAAUCAGGUCUUGCGGUCGCGGGCUUACACCGAGUACGCCCAGCCCGCCCUCUCUGCGGUGCCUCAGCCCCGGUGCGCCGCCGCAGCCCAUGAGGAGAGUCGGCUGGGUGGGCCAGCAUUAAAUUGGAAAGAUGUCCCUGUAUGAUGACCUGGGAGUAGAGACCAGUGAUUCAAAAACAGAAGGCUGGUCCAAAAACUUCAGACUUCUGCAGUCUCAGCUUCAGGUCAAGAAGGCAGCUCUCACACAAGCCAAGAGCCAGAGAACAAAACAGAGUACAGUACUUGCCCCAGUAAUCGACCUAAAGCGAGGCGGCUCUUCAGACGACCGGCAGAUCGUGGACACCCCCCCGCACAUCGCAGCUGGCCUGAAGGAUCCUGUUGCCAGUGGAUUUUCUGCAGGAGAAGUUUUGAUUCCAUUGGCUGAUGAAUAUGAUCCCAUGUUUCCUAAUGAUUAUGAGAAAGUGGUGAAGCGCCAAAGAGAGGAACGAUAGAGACAGCGGGAGCUGGAAAGACAGAAAUAGAAGAGAGAGAAAAGAGGCGUAAGAACAGAUAUGAAACUAGUGGGUUUUUGAGGCGACCAGAUCCAGAUUCUGAUGAAGAUGAAGAUUACAAGCGAGAGAGGCGGAAAAGAAGUAUGGGCGGAGCUGCCAUUGCGCCACCCACUUCUCUUGUAGAGAAAGACAGUUACCCAGAGAUUUCCCUUAUGAAGAGGAUUCAAGACCUCGCUCCCAGUCUUCCAGAGCUGCUAUCCCUCCCCCAGUACACAAGGAACAAGACAGACCCAGAUCUCCGACUGGACCUGGCAACUCCUUCCUUGCCAGCAUGGGUGGCACAGUAGCACAUAAAAUCAUGCAGAAGUACGGCUUCCCGGAAGGCCAGGGUCUGGGGAAGCACGAGCAGGGCCUGAGCACAGCACUGUCCAUGGAGAAGACAAGCAAGCGAGGAGGGAAGAUUAUUGUGGGUAAUGCCACAGAGAAAGAUGCAUCCAAGAAGUCAGAUUCAAAUCCAUUAACUGACAUACUUAAGUGUCCUACCAAAGUGGUCCUCCUAAGGAACAUGGUUGGUGCAGGAGAGGUAGAUGAAGACUUGGAAGCAGAAAUCAAGGAAGAGUGUGAAAAAUAUGGCAAAGUUGGAAAAUGUGUGAUAUUUGAAAUUCCUGGUGCCCCUGAUGAUGAAGCAGUACGAAUAUUUUUAGAAUUUGAGAGGGUUGAAUCAGCAGUUAAAGCCGUUGUUGAUCUGAAUGGGAGGUAUUUUGGUGGACGGGUGGUAAAAGGAUGUUUCUAUAAUUUGGAUAAGUUCAGGGUCUUGGAUUUGGCGAAACAAGUCUGAUUUUAAGAACUAGAGCACGGGUCAUCUCCGAUGAUCCUUAAAUGAGCUGCAGGCUGAGCAGAGAAGGAAAAGACGUUAGCUGGCCUGUGUGGCUGCCGCGUACAGAGACUCUUGGAAGGACUUCUAAGAUAUAUGUUGAUUGAUCCCUUUUUUAUUUUGUGGUUUUUUAAAUAUAGUAUAAAAAUCCUUUAAAAAAAUAAAUAAAUAAAAUAAUAUAAAAUCUUUUUUAAAAAAGUAGAUGACUUAAACUCUCCAAGUGACAGAAUGGAAUUCAACGUCCAUUUAUGAUAAAAACUUUAAACAAAGUGGGUAUAAGGGGACAUACCUCAACAUAAUUAAAGGCCAUAUACAAGAAGCCCACAGCUAACAACAUACUCAGUGGUAAAAGUCUGAAAGCUUUUACUCUUGAGAUCAGGAAAGGAUGGGACACUUGGAUGGCUCAGUUGGUUAAACGGCUGCCUUCAGCUCAGAGCAUAAUCUCAGGGUCCUGAGAUCAAGCUUCACAUCAGGCUCCCUGCUCAGUGGGGAGUUUGCUUCAGAUCAGGAAAAGGACACUCCCACCACUUUUAUUCAACAUAGUACUGGAAGUACUAGCCAGAGCAAUUAACCAAGAAAAAGAAAAUA